rnacentral:rRNA from 1 species
GACGAACGCUGGCGGCGUGCCUAAUACAUGCAAGUCGAGCGGAGGUUGGAGAGCUUGCUCUUCAACUUUAGCGGCGGACGGGUGAGUAACACGUGGGCAACCUGCCCUGCAGAUCGGGAUAACUCCGGGAAACCGGUGCUAAUACCGAAUAGUUUUCGCCACCUCCUGGUGGCGUACGGAAAGACGGUUUCGGCUGUCACUCCAGGAUGGGCCCGCGGCGCAUUAGCUAGUUGGUGGGGUAACGGCCCACCAAGGCGACGAUGCGUAGCCGACCUGAGAGGGUGAUCGGCCACACUGGGACUGAGACACGGCCCAGACUCCUACGGGAGGCAGCAGUAGGGAAUCUUCCGCAAUGGACGAAAGUCUGACGGAGCAACGCCGCGUGAGUGACGAAGGUUUUCGGAUCGUAAAACUCUGUUGUGAGGGAAGAGCAAGUACCACUUAACUACUGGUACCUUGACGGUACCUCACCAGAAAGCCACGGCUAACUACGUGCCAGCCGCCGCGGUAA